UGGUGGAGUGAUUUGUCUGGUUAAUUCCGAUAACGAACGAGACCUCAGCCUGCUAACUAGUGGUGCGAAUCGCUCUACCAAAGGCUGGAGUGUGACGCCAUGGGCCUUCUUGUAGGGCGUGUGGUGGAUGCAUUCACCUGGAAUGAUUCGUAGACGACUUCUUAGAGGGACUAUUGGUUUUUAGCCAAUGGAAGUUUGAGGCAAUAACA
rnacentral:rRNA from 1 species